UAAUACGAAGGGUGCAAGCGUUACUCGGAAUUACUGGGCGUAAAGCGUGCGUAGGUGGUUGUUUAAGUCUGUCGUGAAAGCCCUGGGCUCAACCUGGGAAUUGCGAUGGAUACUGGGCGACUAGAGUGUGGUAGAGGACAGUGGAAUUUCCGGUGUAGCAGUGAAAUGCGUAGAGAUCGGAAGGAACAUCUGUGGCGAAGGCGACUGUCUGGGCCAACACUGACACUGAGGCACGAAAGCGUGGGGAGCAAACAGG
rnacentral:rRNA from 1 species